GUCAAAUGCUGCUGAGACGUAAAACAUGAUGAAGUCCAAGAAUUGACUGGAGGGUCUGGAUGGCCGAUACUAGGCAUGCAUGUGCAUACAGAAAAGAGAGUAACCCAAUAGUGAGGAAGAAAUUGAUGCUGCAGGAGAGAGGGAAUAAUUGCCGAAGCAAAGAUCUUGAGGUACUGAGAAAGGAUGACCCUAAUUUCCUUAAUGCUGCACCAGGAGGAUACCUCAGCCCCUGUAAUGGAAUUAAAGAAAUAUUGGAGCUGAUUCUGGUCCACCAAGAAGGGGAUGUGUUUCAG
rnacentral:lncRNA from 1 species